UCCCUGGUGGCUCAGAAGGUAGAGUGUCUGCCUGCAAUGCGGGAGACCUGGGUUCGAUCCCUGGGUCGGGAA
rfam:Ovis aries breed Texel chromosome 15, whole genome shotgun sequence.